CUAGAGUUUGAUCCUGGCUCAGGACGAACGCUGGCGGCGUGCUUAACACAUGCAAGUCGAACGAUGAAGCCCAGCUUGCUGGGUGGAUUAGUGGCGAACGGGUGAGUAACACGUGAGUAACCUGCCCUUGACUUCGGGAUAACUCCGGGAAACCGGGGCUAAUACUGGAUAUGAGCCGUCCUCGCAUGGGGGUGGUUGGAAAGUUUUUCGGUCAGGGAUGGGCUCGCGGCCUAUCAGCUUGUUGGUGGGGUGAUGGCCUACCAAGGCGACGACGGGUAGCCGGCCUGAGAGGGCGACCGGCCACACUGGGACUGAGACACGGCCCAGACUCCUACGGGAGGCAGCAGUGGGGAAUAUUGCACAAUGGGCGCAAGCCUGAUGCAGCGACGCCGCGUGAGGGAUGAAGGCCUUCGGGUUGUAAACCUCUUUCAGCAGGGAAGAAGCGCAAGUGACGGUACCUGCAGAAGAAGCGCCGGCUAACUACGUGCCAGCAGCCGCGGUAAUACGUAGGGCGCAAGCGUUGUCCGGAAUUAUUGGGCGUAAAGAGCUCGUAGGCGGUUUGUCGCGUCUGGUGUGAAAACUCGAGGCUCAACCUCGAGCUUGCAUCGGGUACGGGCAGACUAGAGUGCGGUAGGGGAGACUGGAAUUCCUGGUGUAGCGGUGGAAUGCGCAGAUAUCAGGAGGAACACCGAUGGCGAAGGCAGGUCUCUGGGCCGCAACUGACGCUGAGGAGCGAAAGCAUGGGGAGCGAACAGGAUUAGAUACCCUGGUAGUCCAUGCCGUAAACGUUGGGCACUAGGUGUGGGGCUCAUUCCACGAGUUCCGUGCCGCAGCAAACGCAUUAAGUGCCCCCG
rnacentral:rRNA from 1 species